rnacentral:rRNA from 1 species
AAACCGUCGGAGAGGAAGCGAAUGGAGUUAGCAAGUCGCCUCGUCAGAUUCAGCUUGUCGCGCGCACCGCCGAUCGCGUUCUCGAUCUUCCUGGACGAAGCGCUUUCGUACAGGGCGUGCGGAAGGCGCACUUCUGCGAGGCGAGCGUCAACGUCGGUUUGCACAGAGCGACAAGGUCGCCAAGAAGGUAGGUCCUCUUUCGGGAAGGCCGUUAAGCUUGUUGCACGAACGGCUCUGUGCAGACCGUGGUGUACGUCAACGACGCGUGCCUCCCCUCGGGGCUGGCUGGUCCAUCGUUCUGCAGUGCGAGAUGUCCACCGUGGCGGACGGCGUAUGCCAGUGCGCUCGAACCGCGUCUCGUUCGCAGUGCGGGUGGACACAAUACGCGUCAAGGACGUUGGCGACCAUACGGCUCUAUCCGACCCGUCUUGAAACACGGACCAAGGAGUCUAACAUGUGCGCGAGUCUCUGGGUGAUCGAAACCCGUGGGCACAAUGAAAGUGAAGGUGGCGUUCCGCCACCAAGUUGAGAAGCGUCGGCCCAGUGCCGGCGAAGCAUCAUCGACCGACCUGUUCUACAUGUAGAAAGGUUUGAGUAAGAGCGUACCUGUUGGGACCCGAAAGAUGGUGAACUAUGCCUGAACAGGGUGAAGCCAGCGGAAACACUGGUGGAAGCUCGUAGCGAUUCUGACGUGCAAAUCGAUCGUCAAAUUUGGGUAUAGCGGCGAAAGACUAAUCGAACCAUCUAGUAGCUGGUUCCCUCCGAAGUUUCCCUCAGGAUAGCUGGGACUCGGGUGCAGUUUU